UACGUAGGGGGCUAGCGUUGUCCGGAAUCAUUGGGCGUAAAGAGCGUGUAGGCGGUUUGUCGCGUCUGCUGUGAAAUUUCGGGGCUCAACCCCGAACUUGCAGUGGGUACGGGCAGACUAGAGUGCGGUAGGGGAGACUGGAAUUCCUGGUGUAGCGGUGAAAUGCGCAGAUAUCAGGAGGAACACCGGUGGCGAAGGCGGGUCUCUGGGCCGUAACUGACGCUGAGGAGCGAAAGCGUGGGGAGCGAACAGG
rnacentral:rRNA from 1 species